rnacentral:rRNA from 1 species
CCGCAACGAGCGCAACCCUUACUUUUAGUUGCCAUCAUUUAGUUGGGCACUCUGAAAGAACUGCCCGUGAUAAACUGGAGGAAGGUGGGGAUGACGUCAAGUCCUCAUGGCCCUUACGUGUUGGGCUACACACGUGCUACAAUGGUAUCUACAAAAGGAAGCAA